CCUGCAUUAUCCACAGAACAGGUAUGGCACAGGCAGUGGCAGCCUAAGCUUGCUCACAGCCCUGUACUAAUGUACUCAGUCCUUACCAGGAAAAGGAUUAUUACCUCUAGGAGGGAGGAGCCAGCUUCUUCUGAUAUACAGG
rnacentral:sRNA from 1 species